rnacentral:rRNA from 1 species
AGAGAUGUGUGAUGACGCAUAUCAAUAAGCGGAGGAAAAGAAACUAACAAGGAUUCCCCUAGUAACGGCGAGUGAAGCGGGAAGAGCUCAAAUUUGAAAUCUUAAAGGGUUUCCCUUUACGAAUUGUAGUUUAAAGAAGUGUUUUCUGUUGGAGUUUCGGUAAAAGUUCUUUGGAAUAGGACAUCAUAGAGGGUGAGAAUCCCGUAUUUGGUCAUUCUUUCUAGCUUUGUGAUACACUUUCAACGAGUCGGAUUGUUUGGGAAUGCAGUCCAAAAUGGGUGGUAAAUUUCAUCUAAAGCUAAAUAUUGGCGAGAGACCGAUAGCGAACAAGUACCGUGAGGGAAAGAUGAAAAGAACUUUGAAAAGAGAGUUAAACAGUACGUGAAAUUGUCAAAAGGGAAGCGUUUGACACCAGUGUUGUUUUUCCGAAAAUCAAUUACGAAUGUUUUGUUUUUGAGAAGUUAUGACUUCAUCGGCUUGCUUCUCUCUUUACGAAACUUUCUUAAUGCACUUUUCGGUUAACAAGUCAACAUCAAUUUCUUUUGUUGUAAAAGAGUCAUUGGGAAGGUGGCUUUCUUUUCGGAGAAAGUGUUUAUAGCCGUUACUUCUGCAAUCGGAGAGAUUGAGGUCUGCAGCGUAGAUCCUUCGGGGUUAGAUACAUUUGUGCUAAGUUAUAGCCUUUUCAUAGACAACUUGUUGACUAUGUAUCAGUCAUGUAGCUUACUCGCUUAUGUCAUAUUUACCUACGCUUAGGAUGUUGAAGUCAUCGUAUCGCGC